rnacentral:lncRNA from 1 species
CUCCACCGGCGAAUCAACAGUUGAUGUUGAAAAUAUAGAUAAUACAUUGCGUGGAGCGGAAGAUGGAAUGUUUGGCGGCUUCUUUGAUGCAAAUGGUAAUGAUGCGAAUGGUGUUGUUUCUGGAACUUUCCCCCCACCUGGUGAUGAUUUACCUACAUUUUGAGAUAUCUCUCAUCAUGGUGAAGGAAGUGGUCUGAACUUUCUUUGUUGAUUAACUGAAAGCAAAUGGACAAUUAUCCUUUUGGCCAUGCACUUGGUUAUGGUUGUGAUUGUUUGGAUCAGUGACUUAUAUGAUGCAUGGUGUAUGUAUCCCAGGCUACUAAUUGGCAAUCCUAGGUAGAUGACAUUUUGUGAGUUCUAGGUACUGAGCUAGAUGCCAUCUUUUGUAAGGAGUGGUACUAUUGUGUAAACUCUUUGAUGUUGCCAUGUAUAAUGAUGGUGGCUGAAAUAUAUAGUUUAUGUGAUUUCUUUCUAAUUUUUGGAGUGAUUAUAUGCAAUUAUUUUUAAUAUUUUAAUUUCUACAGAACAAUAUUAAUUUGACCCAAUAAUGCAAUAUUUUGAAAUACUGAUUCCUUAGGGUUUGUAAACCCAAGGGGUAUAAAGUGGACUAACAUCAGCUGCCGUUACAGGAUAUUUCCCUAGGGAGUGAAACUAACCCAAAGGAUAUCAACUUUACACGUCAGCAUGCUAGCCCACCCGUCGCCUGUUUCCCUAGAGUUCAAAACCCAAGGGAGAAAGAACUAUACCUAGGGUAUUCUUUCCUCACCCUAGGGAAACUAAGAUUCCCCCACCAUUGGAGCCCUAGGGAGUUUUCCCUAGGGGAUACACUAGGGAAACCCCUUUCCCUAGUGUUUUUGCCCAUUUGCUUAGGGUAUGAGGCCCUAGGGCUAUGUGCGGAAUCUAGUAGUGAAGGAAUAAACAUCUCCGUUUCUUGUGAAUUAAAACGAACCUUGUAUCUUACUGAGCUCACACAUGCCAUUAUAAGAUCUAUCCAUUGAUCAUCAAAACCCAGCAUUUUCAUCAUGUUCCUCAGGAAAACCCACUCAACUCUAUCAUAAGCUUUAUGCAUGUCCAAUUUGACUGCACAUAGACCAGCCUGAGUAUUCCUGGUGUUCUUAAUUUUGUGAAUGCACUCAUAAGCCACUAGAAUAUUGUCAGUAAUCAUUCUACCAGGAAUAAAUGCACUUUGGGUUGGAGAUAUUAUAUCUGGCAAAAUGCUUUUCAAGCGACUAGAAAAGCAUCUUAGAUAUUAUCUUAUACAGAACAUUGCAAAGGCUGAUUGGACGGUAUUGAGUAAUCAAUCUGGGGAGUCCACCUUAGGGAUCAAAACUAUAGAUGUAUCAUUCCACUCUUGUGGAAUAUGUUUUAAGUUGAUAGCAUGUAGUACAGCAGCAGUAAUAUCCUCCCUAAUAAUGUGCCAAUUUCUUUUUUAAAUAUCGCAUGUAGCCCAUCAGGACCCAGUGCCUUCAAAUCCCCAAUACUAUAUACUGCUUUACAAACAUCAUCAGCAGAAAACGGGGCCAACAACAUGUCAUUCAUCUGGUUUGUUACCUUAGGCUGUACCUUUUGCAACAUCGCCAGUUCCGUGUCAAAUACCUCCGAGUUGAACAGACCCUCAAAGUAGCUCUGGAUAUGAGAAUUCAACUCAUCCACGUUCUCUAUUAUAUCACCAUUGGCAUCUUUCAUUUUUUUAAUAAAAUUCUUUUUACGUCUCGCUGCUGCAAACGCUUGAAAGAAAGCCGUGUUUCUAUCACCAAACUUGAGCCAAUCCACUCGUGAUCUUUGCAUACUUUGAAUUUCCUCUAACUCCAGUAAAUAUUCCACCAAUUCUGCAAGCUCCUUCCUCUUCUUCUCGUUUUCAUCAGUCAUGGGGCCCGAAAUAACCCUCUCCAACUCACGUUGAGCUUUUCUUAACCUUUUCUUUGGUUUUUUCAGAACACGUUGGUCCCAAUCAUGAAAGACCGAGUGCAUUUUUGUAAGCUUCUCGAACACCCCCGGGGACGCUGGGUCGUUCUUCAACCUUUCCCAUGUUUCUGUUACCAGUUCCGAAAACUGCGCUUCUCUCGGCCAUCGCGCUUCAAACCUCUUAGGUCCACCAUUUGCAACUCCUUGGUUAACAUAAAAGUAUGUGUUCAUCAACAAGGGUCGAUGGUCUGAAUGAUUAAAGUUACAAUGCUCUAAACCAGCAUUAGGGAAGAGGCUAGCCCAUUCAUUAUUGAUUAGGCCUCUAUCCAGUCUUUCUCUAAUUCUCCUUCUUCUCCAUGUGAAAAUAUCUCCAAUAUACCCCAUAUCAUGUAACCUGCAAUCAUCGAUCACAUGUUGAAAAGCUACCAUAUAUUGUGGAGGCCGUGGAUUGCCUCCCUCCUUCUCAUGCAAGAAAAGGAUCUCAUUAAGAUCUCCCAUCAUCAACCAUGGAAGAUUAUUAUUGCUCUGAUAUAGGUCUCACAUUCGACCCCAUGUCAAGUGUUUGUUUGCCCAUCGGAAUUUUCCAUACAUACCAGUAAAUCGCCAUGUAUUAUUAUCACAUGUGAUCUGAAUAUCUAUGAACAUUGGGUCUAGUCCAAGUCUUUGGACCGGUAUUCCAUUAGCCACAGCAAAAUCAGAGCUCCACUUCUCCCAUUGCUAGUGCACACCAUUUUCUGAUCCAUCUUUAAUUUGCUCCGGGCCUGUCCGGCCGCCGGAAAGACAGUGCAACACAUGUACGUAUGCAGCGGAUAGAUGAAUGCAUGAACCUUGUCAAUAGGGCCGGCAUAAUAAUUGUAUUACAAUGGCGGCGGUACGAUAUUUUUCCUCUGAUGAUGGAUGAUUCUUUUUUCAUCCUUGACAGGUGAUUCUUUUUUUUUGACGUGGACACGUUCUUUCUUUUAGCUAGAUAGACGUGAGGAUUCCUUUUUCUUUAACCUGGACAGGUGAUUUUUUUUUUACAUGGGCACGUGAUUUUGUUUAGCUAGGCGUGUGGAUAAUUAUUGAGGGCACAAACAGAUCUCACAACAAGGCCGCCUGACGCGUAUGCGUGAUGGGAGGCGACAUCCUGGGCGGCGCCGCAAGGCCGCCUGACGCGAAUCCGACGGGCGCGCAGCCGUCCGGCGCACGUUGGCCGCCAGUCGCGCGGCAGACCCCAUCUCCUCCGCCGGUGAUCUCAGAGGAUAACACCGGGGAUGAUGAGAUCCGGGUCAUGGCGGAUCAGUGGGUGGUUCGUUUCUCGGAUCCGAUCCGCGGAUGGAUCGAGGGACGGCUACAGCACUCUCCGUCAUCGCGCUGGACGUCACUUCGUGAUAUGGAUAACGACAUCCUUGCCGGCGAUUACCUGGCGGCGGACGUUCAGAUCGAGGUAGGGAUGCGUUUUAUUUUAGUUGACUUCGAUGUCCAUGUGUUGUCAGUUUUGCAGGAGGUUCACAGAGAGGAGAUCGAAAUGAUCGAUUUGACGACGAUGCAUGAGACGAUGCGGGAGGCGUCCGCGGCCAUUGCACAGGUACUCCACCUUCCGAGCGACCGGGGCGACCGGGGCGACGCAACCGUCCGGCCGACGAGCGCCGGGACCAUGCAUUCGGGGGUGGUGGCUCGGGUCGGCGGCCGGUUUUGGGUGCUGGCCGAAGCCGACGAGGAUGAUGCGGACGGUGACGGUGACGAUCCGGACGCUUCCCCACCAACGCCGACCCCAUCCGACCUAGUCUGCGAAUUCUUCCAUGCGGGCUAUGAUGAGGACGAGGUGGCCUCGACGGUGGAUAGAGUGCUGCCAGUUGAAGAUCCGGCAAGGGUGGGGCUUCAUGCGGGAGAGAAGAAGGAGAUGGUCCGGCGAGUGGUUCACCGUCGAACGGCGGCGACGGCGGUCCGACCAUGGAAGGGUCCCCUUCCAAAGGUUAGUCUACCGAACCUUACUCUUUUCGAUAUGAUUCAUCCGGAUUCUUGGAUUCAAGUUAAACGGAAGAAGAGGCUUGUCUGUUCUGGCGGUGUGCCGGCGGCGGCCAUGGCGAGAUCGCCGGCGAGUCGGUCGAUCUCGAUCUCGAAACAGCGGGCGACGCGUUUGAACGCUCUCCUGGGCUGUGCGCUAGAGGGCCUUCCUGACGGGCCGGUUCUGAGUGAGCCGGGCUCUGUUUUGGGUGGGCCUGAGGUAACCGGGUAUGAGGCCCAGGUUAACUUUGAUAGUUUUAGAGGGCGGAUCGCUACACCCCCAUGCACGAUCGACGGGACGACAGAGGUAUCUCGUUCGAGGCGGCCUAGGGUUCUGCUGCCCAGGCUGCGAUCUUGCUUCUCUGAUCGUGGGGCAGGGCGCGCUCGUCGGGUUCCCGCGCUUCGUUGCAUGGCGGGCGGAGGCCCUCCUCCGGCCAAGGCCGGCGCGCAGGCCGGAGUCCCGGGCAGCGUGGGGCGCGGAGGCUUGCCUCAGCCUGCGGGAGGCGGCCGGGGCGGAGAGGCGGCCUCUAUGGCCGCGGGUCGGGGCCGUCCGGGUCUGCGCGCGGCCGCUCCUCCGGCCUCAAACCAGGUGGCCCAGGGGCCAAAUGGCGCCCGACAAACGCUGCACGGCGGCCUGCCCAGGCCAGGCGCAGUCGGCCGCGGAACUUUGCCGGCGGGUAGACCCCCGCCUCCUGUCGCCGGUCGGGGCGGACUUAGGCCACCGGCGCCUCUCCCCACGGCGACUGCGGGUCAUGGUCAUCGGCCACCUGCUCCAGCGGCGGCUGGACAGCCGCGUCCUCAGGCGAUGCAGGCCGGGGUCCGACCGCCGCAGUUCGUGGCUCGGCAGUCGCACAAUCCGACGGCACCGGCUUUGGAGCAGGCGCAACUGCAAAUGGCUCCGGUGAGGGGGGGUGACUCGUCGGUGCCUCGUGGUCAAUGGGGUGAUGAUGGUCUCAAUGCGUAUGGUGACGGACAGCACCGGGGAUCCUCGUCCAUAGGUGGUGGGCGGGGGUAUGCUUGGCAAUGUGACGGCUCGACCGAGAGACCUUUCCUGGGGCCUACGGGAGGUUUCGUCGAAGGGCCGGCCGGACCAGCUCAUAGGAACCGUGGUGGCUUUCGUGGUAACCGUGGUGGACGGGGCGGCCGAGGUGGUCGCUAUCGCCCAAGGCAGCAGCAGGUUGUCGUCGAUCAGACACCGAUUGGUGUAAAUACCGAUGAUACUGCGUUGACUUGUCAGGCUAUGGAGGUUGUUACAGCUCUGGCGGAGGCGGUUCCUACUAAUAAUGGCGAGGUUGAGGUGAUGUCAGUGGAGGGAUCUGAAAAGGCUGAGCUGGAUAGGGCGGCAAAGUAUGCGCGAAAAAAAGAAAGAAUGUUAUGCUAUCGAUGUGGCAACAAAGGCCACUUCAUUGCUGAGUGUGUGGCAGUCUUAUGCGAUACGUGUGGUAAGCCGGACCAUGAGUCAGGGGCUUGUCCGCUUUUGAGGGAGAAGCUACCAAAUCUGAUGAUGUAUGGUGUGUUCUGUUCAGAGCUCACAUUUUUCGAGUCUCCGAUGGAGCAGGAGGUCUCGGAUGAGGUGCGCAGUGUGACGUCUGGGAUAGUUAAAGUGACUAGAGGUGAAGUCUCUGAGGCCCAAAUUGUGCAGCGGCUCCGGGAGCUGGCACCGGGGGACUUCCUAUGGGAGUUAGUCAGUCUUGAGCCAAACUCGUUCAGGGUGGAGUUUCCAUCGGUGGAGGAUCUACAGAGGUUAUUGAGUUUCGGGAUGUGUAAGGUGCCAGGUACUGAGGGCAUUCUGGAGUUCCACGAGUGGAAAUUGAGUGAGCCUCAGGGUACGCCACUUACCCAGGCCUGGUUGCGGUUUUCGGGGGUACCACACAGGCCCUUGCAGGAUGCCAGGGUUGUUGCUAGUAUGGCUGUUUUGGUGGGAUAGCCCGAGCGAGUGGAUAUGGCUUUCACCAGAGCUUAGGGAGUGGCUCGCAUCCUAGUCAGUAUCCUGGACAUUGAGUAUGUUCCGGACGUGGUGAAGUGGGCUUAUCGCGGUCAGGUGUAUAACCUUCAGAUUGAGUUUGAGGAUGACAGUCUGUUUGCCGACACACCUGCUUCAGUGGACGUUGAUAUGCACGAGGGGGAUGAUGACAGGGGGCGCAAGGAGCUUCCGGUAGAUGAUCCUGGUCCAGAGGCCGAGAGACCGGGGUCUCGGGUCAAGACCACUCUGAGGUUUGGUACCUUUGAGUCAGCUUCGGCACCCCCGAGACUAUGGAGUGAGCGGGUGGAGUCUUCUGAGGUUUUCGAGCAUUCCUUACCUGCGUUGGACCUUGAGGGUCCGAGAGUGGAGGUUUCUGGAGUGGAGGAAGGUCCGGAGAUAGCGAUCUCGCCUACCUUGGAUACUGUUGGCACGUCUGAGAUGCAGGUAAUGACUACGAGCUUGGAGGGGGGUCGCAGGCAGGAGACCUCGAUCCCUCAUCACUUGAUGGCUGCGACCAGGGUUCCUGAGAGGGACGAGUCCUCGUCGGUAGGGUGGAUGGCUGCUGCUUCUUCUGCUAGGCGGGUGGGUAUUUGUCUGGGGCAGGUGGUCCCGGCAACGCCUGCUGCGCUGGCGCUGGCCGGCUCUGAGGGAGGUUGUCUGGGGCAGGAGGCCCCACACUCUUCCCCUUCGGCUUCGACGGAGGCGGUUUCGACUGCCGUGAUUGGAGGGGGUCCGGGGAGGGUGAUCCCGGGCCAUCCCUCAUCCUCGGCUGGCGGGAUGACGACUCCAACAGCACUGAGGGUCGGGGCGGAAGGAGUGCUUGGACAGGUGGUCCCGGCACCUUCUACCCCUGGCCCCCUGACCGCCGGAGGUGGGAGCCGUCCGGCACUUCCUCUCGCGACUGGUGCCUCUCGGGAGGAGGUUGUUGCGUUUGGCGGAAUCCCUGAUCCGGUCUCCGAGGGGCGGCGGAUGAGUUCCCGUCUCUUGGAUCAUCCGGAGGUUGACGACAUGCAGCAGAGGUGCGCUACGAGGGCGGCCAAGCUUCGUGGUAUCGAGGCCACUUCCGGUAUGUCAGUCAAUUUAUCCAAUUCCAUUAUGCAUUUUUCUACGGAUGAGAUUAUUCAUAAUGCGACUCAAGUAGGGAUUUCGCUAGGGAAUAAUAAUGCUGAAAUUUCCAACUCGGUUAAUGAUCUUUUAGAUCUGGAGGCGGAUCGCGCAUUAGAAACCAUUCGAAACCUAGCGGCUGUGCGUCCUAUGACUGACGCUGAGAUUGAUGCGUUGGGAGUGAGAGUGCUAGACACCUUGUGUGCGGACCUUGCACCAUCCUGUAAUGAGCCAGACGAGGAGGACACCAACGUAGAGGUUGAGGUCCUUCAACCACCACUGCCCGGUUAUGAGGACCGGAUGGUGGACGAUGACAAAUCUAAACGUAAGUGGAAGCGAAAGGUGUAUCCAGCAUCCGCGGUACGUAGAAGCGCUAGGAUUCAUACGGCAAAAAAAUUCCAUGAUGAAUUAUGAAAGGAAUCUUUUGGAAUAGCAGAGGUCUCAAGGACUUGGCUAAAAGAAGGUUUCUUGCUGAGGCAUCUUUGGAGCACAGAUUAGAUUUCAUUGCUCUCUCCGAAACUGGAAGAGACAAUUUUUCUCCGCAGUUUCUUUCCUCUCUUGCGGGUGGUGUUGAUUUCGACUGGCAUUGCCUACCGCCACGUGGACGAUCGGGAGGCAUCUUGUUGGGAGUGAGAUGUGAUUCCCUUGAGGUCAGGAGUGUGGUAAUGGGAGACUUUGCGGUUAAGUUUCGGGUUAGGUCAAAAGUUGAUGGGUUCGACUGGGCUUUGGUGGCGGUGUAUGGAGCUGCACAGCCCGAAUUUAAACCGGAGUUUCUGGCGGAUCUUGUUCGAAUUUGUGGGUCCGAACAGCUUCCAAUGUUGGUCGGGGGUGAUUUCAAUAUCAUUCGGAGGAAAGAGGAGAAGAAUAAUGAUAACUUUGACGGGAGAUGGUCCUUUAUGUUCAAUACUAUUAUUGAGAGUUUGGACCUGAGGGAGAUUGAACUUUCUGGUAGAAAGUUUACUUGGGCUAAUGCGUUGCCAAACCCGACUUAUGAAAAGCUUGACCGAGUUCUCGCCAGCGUGGAGUGGGAACAGAAGUUCCCUCUGGUGACGGUACAAGCUUUAACGCGGGGAAUUUCCGAUCACACACCACUGUUUGUCGACUCCGGGGAGUCCAACUAUGUGGGAAACAAAAACACCUUCUCUUUCGAGAUGGCCUGGUUCGAACGUGAAGGGUUCUUAGACCUCGUUGCCAGGGAAUGGGCUAAGGGGGUCGGGGGUAUGACGGCGGUCGAGCGUUGGCAGAAUAAAAUAAGAUAUCUAAGAAGCUUUUUACGGGGGUGGGCUAAGCACCUAAGUGGGGUGUAUAAGAUUGAGAAGGAUAGACUCCUUUCUCUUAUACAGGCCCUCGACACUAAAGCCGAAUCUAUGAUUCUGCUGCCUGCUGAGAUCCAGGUUAAACAUGAGGCUGAAAAGAGGCUGAAAGAACUUCUCCGUGAGGAAGAGUUGAAGUGGGCGUUGCGAGCCAAGGUCCACAAAGUGGUUCAAGGGGACGCUAAUACUCAAUUCUUUCACCUCAUUGCUAAUGGCAAGCACCGUAAGAAACGAAUCUUCCAACUUGAGCAGGAUGAGGGUACUAUUGUUGGGCAGGAUAAUCUAAAAACUUACAUCACCGAGUAUUAUAGGCAAUUAUUUGGACCACCAGAGGUUAAUUGUGUAACUUUGGAUGAGUCUCGGACUGAGGAUGUUCCUCAACUGUCGGCUGUCGAAAAUGAUAUCUUGCUAGCCCCAUUUACGGAGAAGGAAGUGUUUGAUGCGAUUGCACAAAUGGAUAACAACAAGGCUCCCGGUCCGGAUGGGUUUCCGGCGGAGUUUUAUAAAAGGUGUUGGCAGAUUAUUAAGGGGGAUCUGUUACCUAUGUUUCACGAUCUUUUCUCUGGACAGCUUCAAUUAUUUCAGUUGAAUUUUGGAACUAUCACUUUGCUUCCUAAGAAAACGGAGGUUGUGCGAAUUGAGCAAUUCCGGCCAAUUUGCCUUCUCAACGUUAGUUUCAAAAUCUUCACCAAGUUCGGGACAAACAGGCUCUCACAGAUUGCGCUUUCUGUGGUACAGCAAUCCCAAACUGCUUUCAUGCCGGACAGAAACAUCCUCGAAGGAGUAGUUGUCCUUCAUGAAAUGCUCCAUGAAAUUCACUCUAAAAAAUUAGAUGGGGUAAUUUUUAAGGUUGAUUUUGAGAAGGCGUAUGACAAGGUCAAGUGGUCGUUCCUUCAACAGGCAUUGCGUAUGAAAGGUUUUGAUGAGGCUUGGCGCCAUCAGGUUGAAUCUUUUACGCAAAAAGGGAGUGUGGGUAUUAAAGUCAAUGACGAUAUCGGUCAUUACUUCCAGACUCAUAAGGGCCUCAGGCAAGGCGACCCAAUGUCCCCCGUUUUGUUUAACAUCGUGGUGGAUAUGUUAGCAAUAUUGAUCGGAAGGGCUAAAGACCAUGGUCAAGUGGGUGGUUUAGUACCUCAUCUGGUGGAUGGAGGUGUAUCCAUUCUUCAAUACGCUGAUGAUACAAUCAUCUUCAUGGAGCAUGACUUGGCCAAGGCGAGAAAUAUAAAGUUGUUGUUAUGCCUCUUUGAACAAUUAUCGGGGUUAAAGAUUAAUUUUCAUAAGAGCGAAUUGUUCUGCUUUGGUAGGGCUAAAGAUGAACAGGACUCUUAUAGGCAACUGUUUGGGUGCGAGUUGGGAAGUCUGCCCUUUUCCUACCUUGGCAUUCCGAUUCAUCAUCGUAGGCUAACAAACAGAGAGUGGAAGUGUAUCGAGGAUCGAUUUGAAAAGAAACUGAGCUGCUGGAAGGGUAAGCUCAUGUCAUAUGGAGGCCGGUUAGUUUUGAUAAACUCGGUACUCACGAGUAUGCCUAUGUUCCUCUUAUCGUUCUUUGAAGUUCCAGUGGGAGUGAGGAAAAGACUGGACUUCUAUCGAUCACGCUUCUUUUGGCAGGGUGAUGAGCUUAAAAGAAAAUACCGGCUUGCUAAGUGGGAUAUCAUCUGUCGACCCAAAGACCAAGGCGGGCUUGGCAUUGAGAAUCUUGAGGUUAAGAACAGAUGCCUUCUUAGUAAGUGGUUGUGGAAGCUCGCUAGCGGUUCGGAAGCUAUGUGGGCCCAAAUCAUUCGCAGCAAGUAUCUCCAGACUAGGACUUUGUCCCAGGUAACAGUUAGGCCGAUGGAUUCGCCUUUCUGGAAAGGGCUCAUGAAAGUCAAGCAAUUAAUGUUUAAUAGGACAAAAGUUGUCAUUGGCAAUGGGGCUACUACACGUUUCUGGGAGGACGCUUGGCUGGGCGACUCACCACUGGCCAUUCAGUAUCCGUCUUUAUAUCGUAUUGCUCAACGACGUGAGGUGCUCGUGGCAACGGUAUUUCAAUCUAUCCCCCUUAAUAUUCAGUUUAGACGGUCAUUAGCGGGCAAUCGUUGGGAGGUUUGGCUCCAGUUAGUUAGGAGACUAAUGGAGGUUCAACUUUCUGACCAACCGGAUAAAUUACGCUGGAAGUUGACUACGUCUGGGGUAUUUACAGUCAGGUCUAUGUAUACUGGUGUUAUUAAUACAAGCUCCAUUCCAACUUCCAAGAGUGUCUGGGAUGUCAAAGUACCUUUGAAAAUAAAAGUGUUUAUGUGGUUUGUUCAUAAACAAGUUAUUCUAACAAAGGACAACUUAAUAAAGCGUAAUUGGACAGGACCUACUAGGUGUAGUUUCUGUGAUCGAGAUGAGACAAUUAAACAUCUAUUUUUUGAUUGCCCGCUGGCCAAGGUUCUCUGGCAGACGGUCCACAUUGCUUUUAAUAUAACUCCACCGAAUACUGUUAAUGCUUUAUUUGGGAAUUGGCUAUAUGGGUUUGACUCUACAAUAGCAAGACAUAUUCGGGUUGGAGUCUGCGCUUUAAUAUGGACCAUCUGGUUGUGCAGAAAUGAUUUGGUUUUUAACAGAUCAUCACGAAUUCAUUUUUUGCAGGUUAUCUUCCGAGCUACGGCGCUGAUCCGUUCAUGGUCAUUACUCACUUCGAUGGAGGCCAGGGAGCAUUUGGUUACUGGGUCUACCCGGUGGGAGAUGGUUGCUCGGGAUAUCUUCAACCGGUUUGGAUGGCGGUCAUGUAAUAGGAUAGGCAAUUAGUUUCCCUAUCUAUAUAGCCAGCCGGUUGUGGCUCCUUUAUUGGCUAGUUAGUGUUUCUAGCCUUCUGCGCUCUGUGUGGGCUGCUUUUUAUUGUUUUCAGUUAGAGACUAUGGAAUUUUGUACGCACUUUUUGUUGCUUCUUUAAUAAGAUGGCUGUAUGCAUCACUCCUGAUGCAGAGGCCGGGGAGUCCCCUUUUCCAAAAAAAAAAAAUAAGUUUUACGUAACGGCAAUGGUGGGUAAUUUACAGAGGGUGGCAUUGGUGGUAAUUUCUUUAGUUAUAAAGUGGAUCUAACGGUUGUGGAGUUUUUAAGUAUAAAAUUAAAGAACUGAUGUUUCUAUUUUUUAUGAGAUUUUCUUGUCUAUUUAUCUAUUUUCUAGUUAACCCAUCAACUCAUAUAUGCUUAUAUGUAAACCUAGCCACGAUACUCAUUGAUUCGCUCCAGGCCCGGCCGCCUGGAAAGACAACGCAUCACAUGUACGUAUGCAGCUGACAGAUGUAUGCAUGAACCUUGUCACCAAGACCGGCAUACAAAUCAUAAUACAUGACGGUGGCACGGUUAUUUUCUCCUCUUAGCAUUAAUAAUUGUUUUCAUAACUUGGACGGAUGAUUCCUUUUUCUUUUGACAUGGACACGCUAGGUGGUGAUUCCUUUUUUUAACCUGGACGGGUGAUCUUUUUUUCUUUUGACCUAGACAGGCGAUUUUGUUUAGCUAGCCGUGUGGAAAAUUAUUUAGGGUAUAAGUUCUACAUAAUGGCAAUGAUGGGUAAUUUUGAGAGGAUGGUUUUGUGGUAAUUUCUUGAGUUGUAAAGUAGAUCUAACAGUUGUAGUAUUUUGAAGUAUCUACUAACACUAUAAAAGAAAGAGAGGGCGAAGAACCAAAUCAUCCUAUUCAUCGAAACCUGCAAUUUGAUGGUCUACAUCCCUCCAGAUACUAAACGCGUUUUACAUUUUAAUUACCCACCAUGCCAUUAUCUACUAUCUACUACCACUAUAAAAGGAAGAGAGGAGCAGAUCCAAACAAUCACAUCCAUCCAUCAUCAAAAUCUAAUGGCCCUUAAUCAUUUUGUGUUUAAUGCUAUACCAACCACGCAACAAGCCACAAUCAAUCGCUAACCCACCCUGCCCGUUCGCACGACAUGUCGCCCCGCUCGCACGACCCCUAGUCGCCCCCUCCUCCAUCGUCCCGCCCGCACGACCACCAGUCGCCCCCUCCUCCUCCUCCCGCGUCGUUCGCCGCCCCGCUGCUCCUCUCGCAGCCGUUAGCCGCCAUAGGUCGCCACCCUUCGCUGCGGGAGCUGUCGGCAAGUCCCCGCCCGUCGCGCCCUUCGCCGUGGGAGAGCCGGAGCCGCCGCCCGUCGCGCGUCGGGGGAGAGACGCUGCAGGUCGCCGCCCUUCGCCGCGAGAGAGCCGGAGCCACAGACCCGCCGCCCGUCGCGCACCUGCCUCUCCUCCUCUGCUGCCGCAGGUACGCCGACGCCUCCUCCCUCGUCCCGCCCGCACGACCCCAGUCGCCCCCUCCUCCUCCUCCCGCAUCGUCCGCCGUGGGUCAUCGCAUGGUCCACCGUCGCCAUUCCCAUAGCAUCCCGCCUGCACUUCCUCUUGGUCAGCGCAAUCGUUGGGUCACUAGUUCAUCUGUUCGUCCCUGGAUUGUCGUCGUUCAUCUUUGCUCAUGUUUCUCUUUGAUGAUGUCCAGGUGCCGCAGUGCCAUUGCAGGAGGAAACAGGCGGGUGCUCGGGGACAUCGGCAACAUCGUCCAUGCCCACAAACUCGAGGGGUAAGAAAAUCAGCGCAAGGAUCGAAUCCCAGUCCUGUUUUUCUUUCUUCCGUUCUUUUUCCUGAACUGAACCCGAUCUUGUUCGUUGCAAUAGCAAUAUCCAGCUACCGGUGGGGAUCACUCCAAUCACCAGGAACUUCGGCGCUGAGAUCUGAAGAAGGCCUAGGCCAAUCCAUCCAAGGUACGGACGCUCUGCUGUUUACACCACCUACUCUCUUGUCUGUUGGAGUUCAUGGCCUGUCACUCAUGUCCUCACAGUGUAGGCAAGUGAUCAAUUAUCCUGAAAUCUUUGCCCUAUUGUACAGCCCGUUCAAGCAGGCACAGAAGCCUCUCUAUAGAUUGCAUUAAUCCCUAACGUUUGAUCAAGAAAAAUUGGUACUUUUGGUGUCCAUCUACCAGCACUGCUCAUGACCAUAUCAUGCAAAUAUAGGAGCGAGGGGAACCAACAGGGGUGGUGUCCUGUGUGCAUCUCCUACAGCGUCCUGAAUCCCUGCAGUACACCAGCUACUUUGCGCUCUACCUAGAAGCUACAUGUGCUUUCAAAUUCGAUCUCCUGUGCGGCUUAAGACUUUGAAAUAAAUUUUGAUUAGAUAAAUCUUCAAUAGUUUUAGUUAUACUCUCUAUACAAUUAGUAAUUGUUUAGAUGAUAAUUCCGAACAAUGUUAGUGCUAGAGACUCAUACAUUAAUUUCAAGUAGCAGUUUUAGUUCCCCGUUCUCCAAUUGAUACAAAUAAUCUAUGAAUUAUCAACUAUUAGGCUAACUACGCACAUAUUAGAUUCUUUGUUUCAGCUGUCUCCUGUUGCACUGAUAUAUAUUUACGUUUCAGAUUAUGUAGUCUUCUGCAGGUUGUCAGAUAAACUCUUCCAGAGAUUGAGAUCUAAUCAAAACUGCUUUGAGUCCUUUACCUUUGAUUUUGCAAAAUGCAAUAAGAAGUAGUUGUCAUCUCUAAUGUUAAUGAAUAGAUUCUCAGAAAAGGAAAUUAAUUGGAAUGAUCUGCUCAGCUUGUCCCAUGACUUCAAAAGGAAGAAUUUGACUAAACUGAGAUGUUGAUCUGCAGUGUAAAGAUAGACAAAAUCAAAGACUGGCCUAUUUUCUAGUAACUCCCUUAGUCAACACCCGAGAGCAUAAGUGGGAGCAAAAUCAAUGGUAGCACUAAGUAUUGAGCAAAAGCACUUCGCAUUUUCAAGAUACCGUCUGAGCUUAAAAAUUGAAUUGAACGUGACGGUUAGUGUUAUGCUUAUAAGUUGUAGCCCCCAGCACUCUCUGUUGUACAUGGUGCGUAUUAUUACCUCCUUCAAGUUAAAAUGCCAUUCUAAUAAAGAAACAACAUGUUCUGGUCAACUCAGGUGCGUUCCACUGGGUGUUUUUCUUUCUUAAUAAAUUGUUGUUGCUGCUAAAUAACUAUGGGCUUAGGAUCAAGGCUGUACUUGUUAUUGCCAAUGAGUUAUUGCUUUGUAUGUUUACAUGCCGACGGUUGGAAUGUGAUAAUAAUUUCUGCAUGUCUACACAUAGUUUAUUCAUCCCACUGGAAAAAGAACCAAGAAUGUUGCGUGCAGAGAUGUCUUGGAGGGACAACACAUGUUUGUUUUCCAUACAUGCCAAUCCACCUUAUUAUAUUAGGACAUGUUACUCAUCUCUAAUAUUGAUUUUUUUUCUAAUUUAUGUGCAUAUUAUGCAUACAAUUAUGAGCUAUUCUGUUAGGAUAAUUUGAGUUAGGGAUCCUUACUAAAUAAUGUAUGAAGAUGGUACUGAAGGAGGCUUUGCAACUAGCAAGGUACUCUGUUUAUAAUCUGACUGAUAUUUCUUAAAAGACGUAUGGCUGCUCUGUUCUCUCAGACAAUAUAAAGCAUGGUUCUAUAUGCUCUGCUAAAUUUGCAACUUCCAAUGCUUUGUGGGGCCUUUCCCAUCAACUCUAGGGAUUUUACCUAAAGGUUCUUUUUUGAUUUUUCUGUGUGUGUGACUAGCUAUUUUACUUACUGGACGUCUAUAUCAGGCAUGUUUAGGGCCUUGUCUCUAUAUUUUUCAUGUGAAUCGCAGAGUAAUAUGUGAAUAACAUUUGCACUGGUGUAAGCUUGCAUGUUUGCUACAGCAGGGCAGAGUUGGUGUAGCAUCAUUAGUUUCUUUUUUGAUAUACUAACAAGUUACCCUGUGCGAAUUCUCAACUAUUUGGAGCCCUGUUUGCGUGCAAGAUUAUGAGGAGCGCCCUGUGCAAUUCCUCGACUGUUUGACACAGCGAGCGUCAAACGGGAGGGCUCCCAGGGGAGAGGCACGGCGGCCAGGGGCAUCUCCUUUGUUUAUCCGCCGCUUCCCUUUGUCACCAGUAAAUAGCAAUCAUGGCACCACAUCAUUCACUUGCCUACCAUAGAUUGACUGCUGAUGCGGGCGCUUCACUCCACUACUCCAUCUCAUGUUGUAUAUUUCCUCUCUUUAUAUCCAGAUAAAGUAUAGCAUGUAAAUAUGUCUAAAUUCAGAAAUAACGGUUUCCCUUCUAUCUUCACUUAUACUGUUUCGGUUAGUAAAAAUGUAACCAAAUUCAAUGGAUGGUGUUAUUUGAAGCUAGAUUAUAGGAUUAUUCCCCUGGUGUUAUUAAUGUAUUUGGAUUAAAGUUAAGAACAUGAUUUCUUUAUAUUAUUCCUUUAGAAUUUGGUAUGAUAUAUAACCACCAGUUUAGUAGAUGAUUUGGUAUGAUAUAUAACCACCAGUUCAGUAGAUGAUUCCUUUAUAUUAUUCCAAAGGCUUGGCAAUGAAUUUGGAUUAAAGUUAUGAACAUGAUUCACUGGAAAUUGGAAAAAGGACGUCAUGAAUUUGUAACUAUAGGAAAUUGUACUUUCUAGGUUUUUUUAUGGUCUUGCUACUAAAUUUGAUUUUAUCUUGGGUGGAUUUUCAAAGCAGGCAUGGGUGUUAUCCAUUUUGCUUAGCAUGCCUUCUUUACUGGUAAAGAAACACAUUAGAUAUAUCUGGAUUUUUGUUGAGUAAAUGAGUAUGAGUGCAAAUAAAUUCAGACACGAAGCAAAAACUUUGACGUUUCAUUGAUUAAGCAGAAGACUUUUCAGUUAAUCACGAAAAACCAAAACAAAAGGGCCAAGCCCACUCUAGAACACCGUAAUGCCACAAGAAACUACAACCACACAAACACACACUAGCUAGCGAACUCGCUUCACCGAACAAGCUGCUCUUCCAUGUCCGAAAGAAGUCAUGAGGCACUCUCCCAUGGGCGAUGAAGAGAUAAGCAUUCCACAUGCACGUAGUAGUUGCAACCCACACGACAUGAGGUCCAUGCCGUCGAAGUUGCAAAGCUCUCGGGGCCGCCGCCCUGACGUCCACUGCUUCAACACGCCUUGUGCCCUCAACCGGUAGGGUCAUCGCCCCCCACAUGCCACUGCAGAGACGUGCGUUGCACGUGCACGCUUACUAGUAAAACUAAAGGACAGACGUUCCUAAUUUUUCUAAGAUUUUCUAGUCUAUUUAUCUUUUUUCUCAAAUCACUUCAUGUAAGUUCACUGGAAAAUAAUUAGCGAUUCCGACGAGUGUUAACCAGAGACGGGAGCAAUCCGGCAGCAGGGGUGGAGGUGAACUAAACCAUAGCUUCGCAGAGCAAUAAUAAAGGAAAGAGAAGAUAAGAUAAGGCAUGAGGAGAAGUGAUUGUUUUUUUUAACACAAUACAGAUGUAAGUGCUCGAACUCCUGAAAUAAAUCCAUGAUAAAUAUGAGCACCGGGAUUUGGACCCUGAUGGUCUGGGGAUACCAUAGCCCCUCUACCAAUCCAACCACAUAUUGGUUCACAGAAGAAGUGAUUGUUAUGUGAUUUGUUUGACCGGCACAUAUGACCAUUUGUUCCCAAGUCACGUGAAGUGGGGCCCACCAUUUCAUACAUGUUGCAGAUUCAUAGUUUCACAGAUCCACAUAAUCAAGGGCUAGUAUUUCCUAAUUAAUUGGUGGGCCCCACUUUUCCAUAUACUACAUUACUCAGAUUGAAUGGCCACAGAUUCAUAGUUUUAAUGGUUCCACCAAUCGAGGGCUUGUAUUUUCUAAUUAGUGUAAUAUAUUUUAUGCAUAUUGAAUGGCCACAGAAUCAUAGUUUUAAUAUAUAUAUAGAUCCACCGAAUCAAGGGCAAAUAUUUUCCUCUAACAAGUGUCAUAUAUUUAACGCAUAUUGAAUGGCCACAAAAUCAUACUUUCUCCGUCCCAUAAUAUAAGAACGUUUUUGACACUACACUAGUGUAAAAAACGUUCUUAUAUUUUGGGACAGAGGGAGUAGUUUUAAUAUAUAUAGAUCCACCGAAUCAAAGGCAAAUAUUUUCUAACUAUUGUGAUAUCUUUUAGCCGAUUUCACCAUAUUGCGCAUUAACUAUAAUAGAUCGACAGAUCGGGAAGCUUAUAUAGGUAGGCGAAGGUUGAGAAAUCAUCGCCUCCCGCACAUACGACCCAUCAACUUCAGAAGCAAGAUUGUGGUAUACAUAGUGGAUAUAUUGAAAUACUCCUGGGGAUGGCACCGUGGCGGUCCAGAGAAAAGUCCUCAUGGUAUAAUUUAAAUACUGCUGCAACUAAUUUUACUGUCUACUUAUUUCAUGGCAGGCAACGUAAUCAAGCUUUCUUGUAUUUUACUGUCUUCUGCACACAUUUGAAGUGCCUUAAAUUUUCUUGUCAAGAAAGAUGGGCAAUUAACUCUUGAGUGAAAAAAUGGGCACUUAAUUUGUUUUCACAAUAUAUCUACGAUUUAGUUUCUGAGUGAAAUCAUUUUUUAGUCAAAUAACUGUUUCUCUUUCCAAAGGAAGUAUGUAUGUUGAGUUAUUCAUAAUUUUUCCUGUUAGGGUAUUACAUGUAGUAAGACUACAAAAAAUGUGUUAUGUUAGUUCUACACAUGUUAUGCAAAAUUCUUUAGGCGACGAUAGAGUUAUGAAGUGAUUACGAUAUUCCAAAUUGCCCUUUCAAAAUAAUUUCAGAGUAGAUAUGUCAGUCGAUUAGCGAGGAUUGAUACUGCACCAUCAUACUGUUUUGUACGUUCAAGAUAUAUAUAUACUAUCGCCCGCCUGAUCUCUGUAUGCAGGGUGCCUCCCAACGAAAUCAGCACUGAUAAUGUUCUUGUUUCGUCAGCCACCUUGGAGCUCCUGCAGUAGCAUAUCAUUGGUCCCAGUGUCGAUGAUCUGUUGCCUCCUCCAUCUCUAUAGGAGGAAGAUCACUCUACUGUCAUUCUAGUCGAUCAUCUUGCUGCUUCCAAUUGACUUUUCUAUGCCCGAGUGUAGUGUACCCCAUUAUCUCACCAUCCAGUUUAAUGUAGACUCCAUCAUUCUGUCUCUCACAAACACAAGUGUCUUUUUUCCUAAAAACUCUCUUUGACAUACUCUAUCACUUCACUCUCAAAAGAAAAGCAGGGUCUCCUCUCUCUUCAGUUUAUCCAAGGAAGGUAUUCUCUCUUGUAUCACGGGAUCUCUCGAGUUCUACACUUUUCUCUCUUGCUGCAAGGGUAUUGCCACACCCUUUUCCCUCUCUCUUGUCGGAUUGAAUAGUCAGAGUAGUAGACCGGGAAAAUGAAAAACAUCUAGCCCCUGCAGCAAUAGAGUGCAUUGUUCCUUCCCUGUUAAUCACCGAUAAAACAUGACCCACAAGCUCAUAUUCCAUAAAACAGAUCAAUGGCUGGACAAUGAGUUAAUGGGGUACACUAGACCCGGGCAUAGAAAAUUCAAUCUCUAUGAUUGGAAGCAGCCGACUGAGAGACUGGAAUGACAGAGUGGUCUUUCUGCUCUGGAGCUGGUAGAGGGCAAUAGAGCAUCAACAGAGAGACAAAAUGACAUGUUGCACGAGCUCCAAGGUGUUUGACGAAGCGAGCACAUCAUUAGUGUUGAGUUCCUUGGGAGGCGCCCUGUAGAUAGAGACCAGGCGAGAGAUAUGAGAUAUAUCAUGAACAUACAAAAUAGUAUGAUGGAGCAGUAUUGAUCCUCACUAAAUGACUCACAUAUCUACGCUGAAACUAAAUUGAAAGUGCAACAGAACAUGAAAAAAAUACAUCGUAGAUCCUUCAUAACUCUAUCAUCGCCAAAAGAACCUUUCGGCUGCAGUACCGAGGAUGUGGUCUCUUUCCCCAAUUGGGUGUUUCCCUGAUACGAAAGAUCGCGCCUCUUCCGGUUCAUGCUCCCACUCCAUCGUAUCACCAUUCUCUCUACUGCUAUAGUGAAGCUCUAGCAGAUGUUUUAUUAAGGAGGAGAUUCGGCUCUAAAAUUUCGGAUGUACGCAAGGCUUUCAUAAGGACAACUUCUCUGUGUUGGAAAUAUGCCCUAGAGGCAAUAAUAAAAUGGUUAUUAUUAUAUUUCUUUGUUCAUGAUAAUUGUCUAUUGUUUAUGCUAUAAUUGUGUUAUCCGGAAAUCGUAAUACAUGUGUGAAUACAUAGAUCACAACACGUCCCUAGUGAGCCUCUAGUUGACUAGCUCGUUGAUCAAACGAUAGUCAUGGUUUCCUGACUAUGGACAUUGGAUGUCAUUGACAACGGGAUCACAUCAUUAGGAGACUGAUGUGAUGGACAAGACCCAAUCCUAAGCUUAGCUCAAAGAUCGUGUAGUUCGUUUGCUGUAGCUUUUCUGAAUGCCAGGUAUCAUUUCCUUAGACCAUGAGAUUGUGCAACUCCCAGAUACCGUAGGAGUGCCUUGGGUGUGCCAAACGUCACAACGUAACUGGGUGACUAUAAAGGUACAUUAUAGGCAUCUCCGAAAGUGUCUGUUGGGUUGGCACGAAUCGAGACUGGGAUUUGUCACUCCGUAUGACGGAGAGGUAUCUCUGGGCCCACUCGGUAAUGCAUCAUCAUAAUGAGCUCAAUGUGAUCAAGUGGUUGAUCAUGGGAUCAUGCAUUACGUUACGAGUAAAGUGACUUGCCGGUAACGGGACUGAACAAGGUAUUGGGAUACCGACGAUCGAGUCUCGGGCAAGUAACGUACCGAUUGACAGAGGGAAUUGUAUACGGAUUGAUUGAAUCCUCGACAUCGUGGUUCAUCCGAUGAAAUCAUCGUGGAGCAUGUGGGAGCCAACAUGGGUAUCCAGAUCCUGCUAUUGGUUAUUGACUGGAGAGUCGUCUCGGUCGUGUCUGCAUGUCUCCCGAACCCGUAGGGUCUACACACUUAAGGUUCGGUGACGCUAGGGUUGUUAGGAAGACUUGUAUGUGAUUACCGAAUGUUGUUCGGAGUCCCGGAUGAGAUCCCAGACGUCACGAGGAGUUCCGUAAUGGUCCGCAGGUAAAGAUUUAUAUAUGGGAAGUUGUCAUACGGUCGCCAGAAAGGUUCGGGGGCAUGUCGGUAUUGUACCGGGGCCACCGGAGGGGUUCCAGGGGUCCACCGGGAGGGGCCACCUCUUCCGGAGAGCCUUAUGGGCUGUAGUGGAGAAGGGAACCAGCCCAAGUGGGCUAGGUUGCCACACCCCCCUAGGGCCCAUGCGCCUAGGGUUGGGGGAAACCCUAAGGGGGGCGCCCCCUUGCUUGGGGGGGCAAGCCCCCCUCCCCUCUAGAUCUCAUCUAGAGGGGGCCGGCCCCCUUCCCCCUUCCCCUAUAAAUAGAGGGGUGAGGGGAGGGCUGCAUACAACAUCCAAGGCGCAGCCCCUCCCCUCCCCAACACCUCUCCUCCUCCAUAAGAGCUUCGCGAAGCUCUGCCGGAGUACUGCGGCUUCAUCACCACCACGCCGUCGUGCUGCUGUUGGAGCCCUCUUCCUCAACCUCUCCCUCCUCCUUGCUGGAUCAAGGCGCGGGAGACGUCCUCGCUACGUACGUGUGUUGAACGCGGAGGUGCCGUCCAUUCGGCGCUAGGAUCUUCGGUGAUUUGGAUCACGUCGAGUACGACUUCAUCAACCCCAUUCUCUUGAACGCUUCCGCUCGUGAUCUACAAGGGUAUGUAGAUGCACUCCUCUCUCCCUCGUUGCUAGAUGACUCCAUAGAUUGAUCUUGGUGAUGCGUAGAAAAUUUUAAAAUUCUGCUACGUUCCCCAACAAUGGUAUCAGAGCUAGGUCUAUGCGUAGUUACUAUGCACGAGUAGAACACAAAGUAGUUGUGGGCGUCGAUAUUGUCAAUUUGCUUGUCGUUACUAGUCUUAUCUUGAUUUGGCAGCAUCGUGGGAUGAAGCGUCCCGGACCAACCUUACACGUACGCUUACGUGAGACCGGUUCCACCGAUUGACAUGCACUAGUUGCAUAAGGUGGCUGGCGAAUGUCUGUCUCUCCCACUUUAGUCGGAUCGGAUUCGAUGAACAGUGUCCUUAUGAAGGGUCAAUAGAAAUUAGCAAUUCACGUUGUGGUUUUGGCGUAGGUAAGAAACGUUCUUGCCAGAAACCUAUAGCAGCCACGUAAAAACUUGCAACAACAAUUAGAGGACGUCUAACUUGUUUUUGCAGCAAGUGUUUUGUGAUGUGAUAUGGCCAAAGGAUGUGAUGAAUGAUAUAUGUGAUGUAUGAGAUGGUCAUGUCCUUGUAAUAGGAAUCACGACUUGCAUGUCGAUGCGUAUGACAACCGGCAGGAGCCAUAGUGUGACGCCCCCGAUCCAGAUCAUACACUAAUCAUGCACGCAAAUGUGUACGAUCAAGAUCAGGGACUCACGGGAAGAUAUCACAACACAACUCUAAAACAUAAAUAAGUCAUACAAGCAUCAUAAUACAAGCCAGGGGCCUCGAGGGCUCGAAUACAAGUGCUCGAUCAUAGACGAGUCAGCGGAAGCAACAAUAUCUGAGUACAGACAUAAGUUAAACAAGUUUGCCUUAAGAAGGCUAGCACAAACUGGGAUACAGAUCGAAAGAGGCGCAGGCCUCCUGCCAGGGAUCCUCCUAAACUACUCAUGGUCGUCGUCAGCGGGCUGCACGCACUAGUAGGCACCUCCGGGGUAGUAGUCGUCUGGCUCCAGGGCUCCAGCAUCUGGUUGCGACAACCAGGUAGAAGGGAAAGGGGGAAAAGAGGGAGAAAAGCAACCGUGAGUACUCAUCCAAAGUACUCGCAAGCAAGGAGCUACACUACAUAUGCAUGGGUAUAUGUGUAAAGGGUCAUAUCGGUGGACUGAACUGCAGAAUGCCAGAAUAAAAGGGGGAUAGCUAAUCAUGUCGAAGACUACGCUUCUGGCAGCCUCCGUCUUGCAGCAUGUAGAAGAGAGUAGACUGAAGUCCUCCAAAUAGCAUCUCCAAGUAGCAUCGCAUAGCAUAAUCCUACCCGGCGAUCCUCUCCUCGUCGCCCUGUAGAAAAGCGAUCACCGGGUUGUAUCUGGCACUUGGAAGGGUGUGUUUUAUUAAGUAUCCGGUUCUAGUUGUCAUAAGGUCAAGGUACAACUCCAAGUCGUCCUGUUACCGAAGAUCAUGGCUAUUCGAAUAGAUUAACUUCCCUGCAGGGGUGCACCACAUUCCCCAACACGCUUGAUCCCAUUUGGCCGGACACACUUUCCUGGGUCAUGCCCGGCCGCGGAAGAUCAACACGUCGCAGCCCCACCUAGACAAAACAGAGAGGCCAGCACGCCGGUCUAAACCUAAGCGCACAGGGGUCUGGGCCCAUCGCCCAUAGCACACCUGCACGUUGCGUGGGCGGCCGGAAGCAGAACUAGCCCCCUUAAUACAAGAGCAGGCUUACGUUCCAAUCCGGCGCGCGCCGCUCCGUCACUGACGUCUGAAGUGCUUCGGCUGAUACCACGACGUCGGGAUACCCAUAACUACUCCCGCGUAGAUGGUUAGUGCGUAUAGGCUCGUAGCCAACUCAGAUCAAAUACCAAGAUCUCGUUAAGCGUGUUAAAUAUCCGCGAAAGCCGAACAGGGCCAGGCCCACCUGUCUCCUAGGUGGUCUCAACCUGCCCUGCCGCUCCGCCACAAAGUAACAGUCGGGGGCCGUCGGGAACCCAGGCCCACCUCUACCGGGAUGGAGCCACCUGCCCCUUCAGCCCCCAUCUCCGAACAGUAUCACAGGUAAUGUAACUGUGUAAAGUAUAUCGUAUAUGCCCGUGAUCACCUCCCGAAGUGAUCACGGCCCAGUAGUAUAGCAUGGCAGACGGACAAGAGUGUAGGGCCACUGAUGGUACACUAGCAUCCUAUACUAAGCAGUAGGAUAGCAGGUAAUGGUAACAACAGUAGUAGCAAGGACAGGCUAUGCAUCAGGAUAGGAAUAACGGAAAGCAGUAACAUGCUACACUACUCUAAUGCAAGCAGUAUAGAGGAGAAUAGGCGAUAUCUGGUGAUCAAGGAGGGGGGCUUGCCUGGUUGCUCACACAAGGAGGGGUCGUCGGUGACGUAGUCGUACUCGGUGGCAUCAGCGUCGGUCUCGUAGUCUACCGGAGGUAAGAGGGGGAAGAAACAAUGAAUACAAUGCAAACAUAAACACGACGAUGCAUGACGUGACAAUGAGCGGUGCUAGGUGUGCCCUAACGUGGUAUGAGGUGGUACCGGUGAAGGGGGGAAACAUCCGGGAAAGUAUUCCCGGUGUUUUGCGUUUUCGGGCAGAGGAGCCGGAGGGGGAAAGUUGCGAGUUCGAUAGGUUAGGGGUGUGUGGCGAACGAACGGACUGCGUAUCCGGAUUCGUCUCGUCGUUCUGAGCAACUUUCAUGUUGAAAAUAUUUUAAUCCGAGUUACGGAUUAAAAGAUAUGAUUUUCUAAAGAUUUCAUUAAUUUCUGGAAUUUAAUUAAUUAUUUAAUUAAUUCGAAAAACAGAUUAAUGACAUCAGCAUGAUGUCAUGCUGACAUCAGCAGUCAACAGAGUUGACUUGGUCAACCUGACAUGUGGGUCCGGGGGACCCACCUGUCAUCCUCUAUUUAGGUUAAUUAGGGUUUAGGUUAAUUAGUUAGCUUAAUUAACUGUUUAGUUUAAUUAGUGAUUAGGUUAAUCUAAUCAGGAUUAAUUAACUUAAUUAAUUCAUUAGAUAAUUAAUUAAUUAAUAAUUAAUUUUAUUAAAUCAUUUUUUUAUUUAUUAUUUUUAUUUUUAAUUCCUUUUUUUUAUAAAACAUUAUGGGCAUGGGGCCCAUCUGUCAUAGGCCCCAGGGGCCAAACGGGUGCGGGCGACGGGCGCUGGGCGCCAGCCCGAUACGGCGCUCGCCCAGAUCGACAGAGGGCCGACCAAAGGCGCAGCGGGGCCAACCGGGGUCGUAGUGGGGCGCCGGCCAGGGCCGUGGGGCGGUGGCCGGCAGGGGUGGCCGUGGGACGGAUGCGGGGCCGCGGUGAGCGCGGACGGGCGGUAAGUCACAGCGGUCGUGGGAUGGCAGCGGGGGUGUGCAAAGGGGGCGGAGGACCAUGGCGAGGCGCAGGGCCGAGCGCGGUCGGUACGCGGUGGACGGCGCCGGCGUCAGAGAACGAGGGAGAGAGAGGGAGGACGGGGCUCACCGAGCCCUGUAGUUGAGCAAAGCCUGCUCGAGGAGGAGUCGGGGCUGGCGCGACGGGGCGGAGGAGUUCAUGGCGACGAGCAGCGACGGCAGGGUGGUCCGACGACGGUGAGGCCUUCGGGCGGCAGCACGGCAUCGACAGGGUUUGGGGCGAGCGACGGGGUGACGACGAGGUGGCCGUGGCGGAGGCGUCCCGCGCGGCAUCGAGGCGAGGAGGAGACGAGGACGACGGGGCGACACCGUGGUGCUGGGAGGCGGUUUGGCGACGGAGAGGAGGGGCGAGGAGGCCAUGACGACAGCAGGCAACAGCGAUCCAGGGCGGAGACGGGGAGAUCGCCGGCGUCGGGGGUCGAGCUGCGGGGGAUCGAUCCCGAUCCAGAUCGGAUCGGGAGAUGGGGAGUGGGAGCGAGUGGGGAACGGGAUAGGGUUUCGGGUGUCGUGGGCUGCGGGGAGGAGGCCGGGAGGGGCGGCGCUCGGCGAUUCGGUGGCGGGGUCGAUGCGCGGGGAGACACGGUCNNNNNNNNNNNNNNNNNNNNNNNNNNNNNNNNNNNNNNNNNNNNNNNNNNNNNNNNNNNNNNNNNNNNNNNNNNNNNNNNNNNNNNNNNNNNNNNNNNNNNNNNNNNNNNNNNNNNNNNNNNNNNNNNNNNNNNNNNNNNNNNNNNNNNNNNNNNNNNNNNNNNNNNNNNNNNNNNNNNNNNNNNNNNNNNNNNNNNNNNNNNNNNNNNNNNNNNNNNNNNNNNNNNNNNNNNNNNGGGGGGGUGGCGAGCGCCCCCGAUCCAGAUCGGGUCGUGGGGUGGGGGAGAGGAGCGAGGGAUCGUGGGGGAAGUGGGGGGGUGUGGUGGUGGAUCGGGCUAGGGUUCGAGGGUGGUGGGGCGUUAUGCGGGGAGAGGUGGGCCGGCCGGGGUGGGCUGGCCGACUGGGCCGGUCGGUUGGCUAGCUGGGUCGGUUGGCCCGGGGGUUUGGGGGGUUUCUUUUUCCUUUUUUUUGUUAGUUUGUUUUCUUUUAUUUAUUUUCUCCUCUGUUUUAAUUCAAUUCAAAAUAUUUAUGCAUCUUAUAAAACUGUGUCUCCUACACCAUAAUUAUCUAUAUAAUAUCUAGUACAAACCGAACAAUUUUAUUUUAAUGUUUGAAAACUUUUAUUAUUUACCAAAUUUUCAAUUUGAAUUUUGAAUCGGUUUCGAACUAACUCGAGAUUAGCAACUAUAAUCGAGGUGACGUGGCAUCACUAGCAGAGGAUCACUGUAGCUUAAUUACCCGGGCGUCACACAUAGGAGUUGUCUUUAUUUAUUUAUGAUCUGCGUGUCAACAUAAACGUCAUGUAAUUACUUUACUUUAUUGCUAAAGCGUUAGCCAUAGUAGUAGAAGUAAUAGAUGACGAGACAACUUCAAGAAGACACGAUGAUGGAGAUCAUGGUGUCAUGCCGGUGACAACGAUGAUCAUGGAGCCCCGAAGAUGGAGAUCAAAGGAGCAGAUAUUGGCCAUAUCAUGUCACUAUUUGAUUGCACGUGAUGUUUAUCAUGUUUUACAUCUUAUUUGCUUAGAACGACGGUAGCUUAAAUAAGAUGAUCCCUCGUAAAAAUUUCAAGAAAGUGUUCCCCCUAACUGUGCACCGUUGCGAAGGUUCGUUGUUUCAAAGCACCACGUGAUGAUCACCUUUAGUACCAGUUCGUGGCACAAACCGGUACUAAAGGGGUCUGACCUAUAAUACCGGUUUGUGACACAAGCCNNNNNNNNNNNNNNNNNNNNNNNNNNNNNNNNNNNNNNNNNNNNNNNNNNNNNNNNNNNNNNNNNNNNNNNNNNNNNNNNNNNNNNNNNNNNNNNNNNNNNNNNNNNNNNNNNNNNNNNNNNNNNNNNNNNNNNNNNNNNNNNNNNNNNNNNNNNNNNNNNNNNNNNNNNNNNNNNNNNNNNNNNNNNNNNNNNNNNNNNNNNNNNNNNNNNNNNNNCCAUUUCAGUUUUGAAAAAAUCAAAAGAAAAUGAUAAAAACUUCAAAAAAUAAAAUCCUUCGAGAGGUAGUUAUAUUACUACAUCUACUAGUUAGGAAACUCUGAAAACUUAAAUUUGGACAUGUUUUGUAAAAAGUGUAGGAAAAAUGUAAAACGGCUAUAACUUUGCAUACGAUGUCGGAAAAAAACGUAUAAUAUACCAAAAAAUUCAGCACGAAAAUCUGCAUCCGAUGGAGACCGCCUACGGCCUGUUUGCAAUUUUUUAGAAUCCUCAAAUUCCAAAAGGAAAAAAGAUAUGGUCAAAUUUCAAGUUUUUUUAAAAAAAUUGUUAAAUCUGGUCAAACUACUUAUUCAAGAAGUAUUAAUGUUACUACAUAAUUAUUCAAGAAUAUUAGUGUUACUAAAUAAUUAUUUCAAUUUUUUGAAUUUUGGUCAAAUCUGGUCAAACUGUGGUCAAACUGUGGUCAAACUAUGGUCAAACUUAUUUAAGAAAUAUUAGUGUUACUAAAUAAUUACUGUUUUUUAGAAUAAUAGUUUCAAACUCAAACAGUGAAAUGUGUGACUUCAUGCUCAAGCUAAACUCCUGAGGGUUAAUAGGAUUGGCAUCUUACUAUUGUCAGGAAAACAACAAGUGCAGACUUAGAAACGAAGGAGAAUAGAACCCGAAAGUUAAGCGUGCUCGGGCUGGAGUAGUGAGAGGGAUGGGUGACCGGUCGGGAAGUUGGAUGAUUUGGAAUGAGUGAUCCACACUUAAGCAGUUAAGAGAGGUGAUUAGAGACUAAAUCACCAAAUAAUUCAGAAAAAUUAAAAAUCGAAAAAAAAAUCAAUUUUUUUCCAAAAAAAUCAAAAAAAAAACCUUUUGUACCGGUUGGUAACACCAACCGGUACUAAAGGUCCCCCAUACCAGGGCGCGAGCUCACGCCACGUGGUGGCACUUUAGCGUCGGUUCGUGCCGAACCCGUACUAAGGGGGGGGGCCUUUAGUGCCCACCAAUUAGUGCCGGUUAUUGAACCGGCACUAAAGGCCCUUACGAACCGGUUUUAAAGCUCCGUUUUCUACUAGUGUAUGCCAAGGAGUUCUACAAGAUGUUGUCUACUGCAGAGGAGGUUAUUCAUGAUCACACUCAAGUCUCUCGCCUAGCUGCUGUCACACGUCUAAUGGGAAUAAAAUCACAACAUAAUUUACCAGCAGAUUGUGUGAAUAGCAUCCUAGGCCUACUUGGGGACGUGUUGCCAAAGGGGCAUAAAAUGCCUUCAAGCUUUUAUGAGUGCAAGAGUAUGUUGGGUGUCCUUAAGAUGCCAUAUGUGAAGAUUGACGUGUGCACCAAUAAUUGCAUGUUAUACUACAAGCAAGAUGAGAAGAAAGAGAAGUGUGAUAUUUGCGGAGAAAGUCGGUAUGAAGUUGUUGAGGGGGAAAGCUCAGAAAUAAAACAUCGCCGCAUACCUCGCAAAGUGAUGCGUUACCUUCCUAUCACAGCAAGGUUGCAGAGGAUGUAUAUGUCGGCUGAGCUUGCGAAGCACAUGCGGUGGCACAAAGAAGGAGAACGCUCAUACCCAGCAGGAAUAAUUGGCCACCCAUCUCAAGCUGAAGCUUGGAAGGACUUUGAUAGGGAGUUUCCAGAGUUUGCAAAAGAUGCAAGAAAUGUGAGGCUUGUAAUAGCUACUGAUGGUUUCAAUCCUUUUAAGUUUGGAGGAUCACAAUAUUCAUGCUGGCCGGUGUUUGUAAGUCCGUUGAACCUCCCACUCGCACUGUGUAUGAGUGAGGAGAAUAUUUUCCUUACUAUGGUAAUCCCUGGUCCACAGCAUCCGGGUAAGAAUAUCAAUGUAUUCAUGAGUCCUCUUGUUGACGAACUGUUGCAGUUAUGGGUUGGUGUAGAUACUUAUGACAGUGUAACAAAGGAACCAUUCUGUAUGAAGGUUGCUUACCUUUUUUCCAUGCAUGACUAUCCUGCUUAUGGCAUGUUUGCUGGAUGGUGUACACAUGGCGGGAUGGCUUGUGCAGUAUGCAUGGAUGAUGUCGAUACAACAUGGUUACCUAAUGGACAUAAGUAUAGUUGGUUUGACUGUCAUCGUCGUUUUCUGCCUCCUGGUCACCCUUUCCGAAUGCAAGAAAAUGCAUUUAUAAAGCGAACUAAAGUGCUUGAGCCACCACCUCGUCGGUUAACUGGAGAGGAGGUAGAUGCAAGAAUUAACCACUUGAAGUCGCAGUCAUUUGAAGGAUAUGGAACAACACACAACUGGACACAUAUUCCUGUCUUGUGGGAAUUGCCAUACUUCAAGAAACUUCUGAUAAGGCAUAACAUUGAUGUCAUGCACAAUGAAAAAAAUGUUGCUGAAGCAAUUUGGAACACAGUUCUUGACAACGAGAAGACAAAGGACAACACCAAAGCUCGUCUUGACCAAGCAGUGUUGUGUAAAAGAAAAAGGCUAAACUUGUCCCAAAGCCAAAUGAAAAGUGGGAGAAGCCGAGGGCACCAUAUUGUUUGACAAGAGCUCAAGUAAGGGAGAUUAUGAAGUGGUUCCUGGAUCUGAAAUUCCCAGAUGGAUAUGCAGCCAACUUGAGGCGAGGGGUUAGUUUAGACCAGCUGAAGAUAAAUGGACUAAAAAGCCAUGACUUCCACAUUAUAAUGGAACGUUUGUUACCAGCAAUGCUCCGGGGCUUCAUUGAUGAGGAUGUGUGGAAUGUGUUGGCUAAGCUUCUUCUGCAGAUCACUUUGUGGGAAAGAAGUUGAUCCUGAGAAGAUGCUUCAAUGGGAAGAGAACAUUGCAGUUUUAUUAUGCAAGCUUGAGAAGAUUUUCCCACCUGGAUUUUUCAAUUCAAUGGAGCAUCUAAUGGUGCACCUCCCAUACGAAGCAAGAGUUGGAGGCCCUGUACAAUACCGGUGGAUGUAUAGAUAUGAGAGGUGCAUGCUUUAAGAUACAGUUGUUUCUAUCAGUCUGUUUUUAUUAUGUUGAUCUAAUAAUCAUGUUAAUGCAGGUUCAUCAAGAAACUUAGGAGGAAAGUCACUAAUAAGGCACGUGUUGAAGGAUCAAUUGUGGAGGCCUAUCUUCUGGAAGAAAUCUCCCACUUCACCUCGCUGUAUCUACCUAAUCUCAUUGCAAACUCACAAAACCGGCCAACCCAUUAUGCUCAAGAGGUUCAGCCUUCUAUAAGCACCCUUGGCAUGUUUCAACUACGGGGAUGGAAAAGUGGAAGGGGUGUGCCCAGACUUUUAACAACAGAGGAGUACAAGCAAGCCAUGAUUUAUGUGUUAACAAACCUACCAGAAAUGGAUGAAUAUGUACAAUAAGUGUGCUUUGCUUUAGUUAAAUAUCAUAGCUUAGAUCAUUGUGUGUGCUUAUGCAUUAAAAACAUUGUAGGAAGUUUGAAGAUGAGCAGUGGAGGCGUCCUCAACCACCUACUCCAAAGCAAUUGGAAAACUUGAGGCUUAAUGGAGCCGGUCAUGGAAAGCCAAACUUGCUGGAUUGGUUCAAAGAUUAUGUAAUCUCUCACACUUUUGUCUAUCUGCUUAAUAAUAAUUUCCUACUGAUGGCUUACAAACUUUUUUUUACUAUUUAUCAUAGUGCAUCAAACAUACUAGCGUACCUGAUGAGUUGUAGAGAUUAUCAAGAGGAUGCCGCUUUAAAGUGAAGUCCUAUGAUAUUUAUGAAGUAAAUGGGUACAGGUUUCGCUCAGAGAGUUAUGAAAAGAAAAAGAGAAGGUUAAGCACUGUCAACUCUGGUGUGCUCACUGUUGGUGAAGAGCUAGAGUACUAUGGCAUUAUAAAAGACAUAAUAGAGCUGAAGUUUGAUGGAAACGAGGACUUUAGCCUUGUAUUGUUUGAAUGUCGCUGGUUCCACCCGAUUGAUGGAGUCUGACGACGAGAUGACAUAGGAUUGGUGGAAGUUAAACAUGAGUCAACCAAUCCAGCAAAUGAGCCAUUUGUGCUUGCUAGCCAAGUAACACAAGUUUAUUAUCUUCCAUAUGCAUGCAAGUCGGAUCCAAAUUUAAAUAAGUGGUGGAUUGCAUACAAGGUCAGGCCUCCAGGAAGCUUGCCCAUUCCCUCGUUGGAUGACUACAAUGCUGAAAAAACACCUUCAAAUGUUGAUGACGUCUACCAAGAGGAUGCUUUGGAUGGUGUUUCCAAGAUUUCCAUCAAUAUUGGAGACGGCCUGGAUAACCUUACCAUCAACGAGAAUGAUGAAAUUGUUAACCCAAAAGAGCUAGAAGCGAUAAAGAAGCGACAAAGUGAAAUAACCCCAAAGGCUAAACUGCCUAUUUCAGCACCAUUUGAGGAGGAAGAAACUAACUCUGAUGCAGAAUCAGAAGAUGGAGAGGACAUGCAAUUAUCUCAUGAAGACAUUGAUGAUUUCUAAUAGUUUUCUUGUUCUGUUUGAGAGGACAUUUUCCUCCAUGUACUUUUAAAUCUGGACAUUGAUGAUUUCUGUUGUUUCCCUCUGUGUUGAACUUACAAUUCUAUCUCUUGUGGUUAUAUUUAUCUCUAGUUGUUUCCCUUUGUCUUGCACAUUUUUCUGCUGCUAUACUUGUGCCAAUUCAGAAAUGUGUAAUUUUAGUUAUGUGUUCUGUGGACCUUACUAAUGCAUUUCGAUUCAGUUUUACAGGAUGACAAUUUCGCACCGCCGCCGCAGGGGGUCAUCCUCUACUAGCAGUGCUACUACAAGUGCUACACUAGGGCAAGAGAUGGUUGCAUCGCUAGAAAUGUCAGCUGGUACAAAUGAUGAUGAGUGGCUUCCACCUCCAAAAUUCUUAAGAGGUUCUGCAGAACUUCCACCACCUAUCGAAAAUGAGUCUGAACGUCCAUUGAUUAGACCUUACGGCGACACGUGAGUUAUCAUUUAAUCCAUGCAUUAUAGAUUGGCACACCUUGAGGUGUUUUUUAUACACCACAUGACAUAACUUGGGAUGUGUUAAAACUUAUAUCUAUUUUCUUGUCCUAGGCACUGGUUAGAAUUACCUACUCUAAGAAAAACUGUGAGAAAGCCAAAUGGUGUGCUAAUGAUCCUUUUAAAGACGCAUCAUCCUGGUUUGGUUGAGCAAAAAGGAAAACUUGUGUUUGCAUCAACUUGGGAACACUAUAAGCUAAAGCCCAGUGAUGGGGGUCGUCCAAAAGCUAAGGAAAUCGAGGAAGAAUUUUGGGUAACAGAUCUGGUUCCUUUUUGAAGUGUAUUGUUGUAGUAAAUAUAAGUAACAGUUGAUUUCUUUCACAAGUGUACUACUGUAGUAAGUAUAAGUAACAAUUUAUUUUCUGUAACCUAUAUUGCAGCUGAGGUUUAGGCAUGAGGCUGAGUAUGAAGCAAGUGCAAAGCUCCAUAUUUGUAGGUGUUGCAACCAACUCUUGGCUAGUGUUCUGUACUAUGCUCGCAUACAGGCCAUAAGGGACCAUUAUUACAAACUUGAGAAUCACAGACUGAAAGAAAAAUUCGCUGGACGAUAUUAUCUUGAAAAACAUGAGUACAUGGCUGUCAGACCAUGGUGGUGCACUGUUAUUUCCUGGGAGGCCUUAGUUGAUGAAUGGUGUGAUGAUAAAUGGAUUGCGACAUCUAAGAAAAAUCAUGAUAAUCGCCUCAACUCUAAGUACAAGGCCCAUAGAGGUGGAUCUAAUUCCCUGACAACAGUUUGCCAAAAACUGGUACCCUCCUAACUUUUGAAUAAAUUAAGUAAGUUUUUUUAUAUAGUAACUUAGUUUUUCUUAUCUUAGUCUGAGAAAGAAGGAAGAGAGGUAUCUAAGAUUGAGGCAUGGAUAUACACACACAGAGGAAAAGAUCCAAAGAAUCCUGAUGCGUUAAAUAGCGUUGAAGCCACGGAAUGCUUGGUAUAGUAUCCAUCCAUUACUUGAUACUGAGUUUAUGUUUUUUUAUGGUACAUUAUUUUUUAAUCAUCUUUGCAUAUUGUUUGCCAUCUAAAGGAUUUGUACAAAGAGAAGGUUGUAAGCAUGCAUGGUGAGGACUAUGAUUGGAAGCAUUCUCCUGUUGAACCACAAGCCCUUUAUGAAGCUGGUGGUGGGAAGCCGCACGGAAAGUGGCUACUAUUGAAUGGUGUUGUGGAGGGUAAAGAGGCUCUUAGGGAGGUGCAGAUCAAACGCUCUUCGUCUUCGUCAAAGCGCCAAUGACUAGAACAUGAUAAAAGGAUUGCCCAACAUAACGAGUUAAUGAAAAGACAUGCACAAAGUAUGGUUGAUUAGGGGAAAUCUAUGCAGACUACAGUGGAGAGUAGCCUCGGCGGUGUGCACAAGUUUCUAAUGGUGUGUAUAUUUAUUUUGUGCAGCCAUUUUCUUUCUAUUGUAGCCACUUGACAUAACUUUCUCAUUUGUCUAAAAAAUUUCAGACCAUCGCAUCCCUUCAAGGAAUUCCAGGGCCUGAGAUUCCAUGCAUUGUUAUACCCCCGCCUCCAGCUUUUCCAACUUUAACCACUUCGCCUCCGAUCUUUUCUCCAGAAAUGGUAUGUACCUAUGUUUUCUUAAAUGCAAUAGCACCAAAUAGGCUAAAUGAGAACAGAAAAGGAAUAUGUUGUGAGUAUAUCAGCAAAUGUGCAACACUGAGUGAAAAUUCCCAGAAUAGUGGUCGACAUAUGGUUGCACUUUGUUUUUUGUUUCAAAUUUUUGGCCAAAUAGUGGCUGAAUUGGUUUAAUUUUACUUUUUAAUCAGUUUGGCAAAUAUGAUUGAGGAUUUCCCAGAAUAGUAGGCAUCAUAUGGUUGUCCUUCUGUCAAAAUCUCAUAAUUUCCUGGGCAUUUGUUAUUUUGGUUCAUUUUUUUGCCAAAUAGGGGUUGAAUUGGUAUUUCCAUUUUAUUUUUUUAGUUGGUUAGGAAAAUACAAUUGAAAUUUUCCCAGAAUACUAAUAAUGACAUUUGUGCAGCCCUCCACCGGUGAAUCAAUAGUUGAUGUUGAAAAUAUAGAUAAUACAUUGCGUGGAGCGGAAGAUGGAAUGUUUGGCGGCUUCUUUGAUGCAAAUGGUAAUGAUGCGAAUGGUGUUGUUUCUGGAACUUUCCCCCCACCUGGUAAUGAUUUACCUACAUUUUGAGAUAUCUCUCAUCAUGGUGAAGGAAGUGGUCUGAACUUUCUUUGUUGAUUAACUGAAAGCAAAUGGACAAUUAUCCUUUUGGCCAUGCACUUGGUUAUGGUUGUGAUUGUUUGGAUCAGUGACUUAUAUGAUGCAUGGUGUAUGUAUCCCAGGCUACUAAUUGGCAAUCCUAGAUAGAUGACAUUUUGUGAGUUCUAGGCACUGAGCUAGAUGCCAUCUUUUGUAAGGAGUGGUACUAUUGUGUAAACUCUUUGAUGUUGCCAUGUAUAAUGAUGGUGGCUGAAAUAUAUAGUUUAUGUGAUUGCUUUCUAAUUUUUGGAGUGAUUAUAUGCAAUUAUUUUUAAUAUUUUAAUUU